CAUGGAUAAUAUAGAGACUUAGAUGAUUAUACAGAGUGCAGAGCUUGGAAUGACUUAAGAGUUGUUUAUGGAGAUUUAAAUCUUUUUUGAUAAGAAAUUAAAUUGUUGGACUUUGUGGAAAAUAAGUGUUUUUAUCUUUGGACUAAGUUUUGUUGACCCAUACAACAGACAACUGGUUGUUUUAUGAUUAUGUUGAAGGUUAUGGAUUGUACGUUUUCUUGCAUCUGAAUAUAAGUGGCAUACGAGUAAAUAGUGUUCGGUAUCUUCGAAUUUGUGACCACAGAGGCAAGCAGGGCUAUCAUCGACGUGUCUGAGGAAUUUAUGGCCUUGUAGGUUCGAGCAGCAUAAUCUUAGUUUACAGUGGAUUAUUUGUAAUUUUCGUAUCCCUGUAUAGUAAUAUGAUGGCACGAUGAUAUCUAAUUUAUUUAGUGAAUUUCCAAAGAUAGCAAGGGAUCGAGAGUUUCUAAUUUCAACGUUAAGUUUAUUCCAUUCUCGUAUACUGGAAGGGAUGAAGGACUCGGAGAAAAUUUCGGUUCUGCAUCUGGUUUCCUUUAGUUUAUCUUUGUUUCUAAGGGUAUAAUUGAUAGGGCUAGAGGACAGUUCUAAUAGGUCAGUGAGAUAUGAUGGAACGAGGUUGUUGGUAAUUUUGUAUAUUAAUUUUAAUUUAUGACGUCGACGUCUUUCCGAGAGUGGAACAAACCCAGUCUCCUUAUAGAGUAAGUACCUCUUACCGCCCCACGGAUAAUGCGCAGUGCAUCUAAUUGUAGGGAUUCUAGUUUGUUAGCUAAAUAAUCACUGCACCCAUCCCAGAUAAUGUCGGCAUAAUCAAAGUGUGGAAGGAUAAAGGAAGAGUAUAUUAUGUUUAAAGAUUUUUUAUUUAAUCGAUAUUUUAGAGAACAAGGCAAUUUACUAGUUUGGAUACUUUGUUUACAAUGCUAUCUAUAUGAUUAUUCCAUUUACAGUUAGUUUGAAAGAUUAGACCUAGAUGUUUAUGUUCACUUACUUCUUUGAUUUGUACCUGGUUCAUACAAUGGUGGGUUAACUUUAUGGGGUUUAGUAGUAAUAGUCAGUGUCUCUGUUUUUAGGGGGUUAAAAUUUACCAGCCAUGUCUCAGCCCAAUUUCUGAUUUGAUUUAAGUCAUCGUUAAUGGUAGCAGCACUUGCCUCUGGGUCUUCAAUUUUUAAGCAUAAAGAGGUAUCGUCAGCAAAUAAUCUAAUGUUUGAAUUUAUAUUGUUCACAAUAUCAUUUAUGUAUAUUAAGAAUAAAAGAGGGCAUAGUACAGAUUCCUGUGGAACACCAGCAGGGAUGCUUCUGGGGUCCGGGGAGGUGCCACUGAUGGUUACACAUUGUUGUCUAUAUUUUAAAUAAUCUACGAACCAGAGCAGUAGUUCUCCUCGAACCCCCGCAGCAUCCAGCUUGUGACAGAGUCCGGCAUGCCAAACCCUGUCAAAGGCCUUGCUGAUGUCACAGAAGACUAUUCUAGUAUAUUGAUGUUGGUCAUUGGCUCGACAGAAGAAGUGUGUUAGGUCGAUUAGUUGAAAUAUGGUAGAAUCACCAGGAAGAAAGCCACUCUGGACAGGUGUUAGUAUUGAGUUAUCUCUAAGGAAGUUAAAGACAUGUUUGUGGAUGAUUUUUUCAAAAAUUUUGACUAUUAUACUUAAGAGGGAGAUUGGUCUUUAAUUACUACAAUCGUUUGGAGAGCCUUUUUUGAAUAUAGCGACCACGUUUGCAAAUUUCCAAAUGUUUGGUACAAUGUGUAGAUCUAAUGAUAGUUUAAAAAGUUGGCAAAGUGAAUGACUGAUUUCUUUUGAGAUGUAUUUUAGAAUUCUCGCGUUUAUUUCGUCGGGUCCUGAGGCUUUUGUAAUAUCUAGGCUGUCUAUUAUGUCUUUAACUUUCUCUGAAUUUGGUACAAUCUUAUCGAUGCUGUUAGGGUUCAUAACAAGCAGUGGUAGAGUUUAUUAGUGUUAUCUAGUUGUGAUUGUUUGAUAAAGAAUGAGGUUAAAGCAUUUGCUUUUUCGGAUUGAGUAAACACAGUGUUACUGUUAAGGGCGGAGGUUCGUUUGUAGAAGCAGCGUGUGUUUUAGUAUAUGAAUUAAUAAGUUUCCACCAGGUUUUUGUUCCAAAGUUUUCUGUGUCACUAAUUUGUUUGUCUAUUUUGUCAAAGUAAUCAUUUUUGCUUUUUCUAAUUAAGUCUAUGUAGUCAUUUCUAAUUUUCCUGAAAUUUUGCCAAUCAGAGUCUGAAUUCCUAUUUACCGCUUUUUUGUGUAAUCUAUUUUUUUUCUUUUUCGUACGUCUUAUUGCGCCAUUCAUCCAGGGUUUGUCAUGUUGCCUAAUAGUCACUAUUUUGCAUGGUAUAUUUGCUUUUGCUAUAUUGAUCAAUGAGCUUGUAAAUUGAACACACGAUGCUUCUACAUUUGAACUAUUGAUAAGAUUGUACCAUUUAGUAGCUAUAACGUCGUUUUUUAUGCCCCCAAAGUCUGCGUUUUCGUAAUUCCAUACCGUUCGCUUGAAGCUGUGUUGUUUUUUGUACGUUAAAUGCCAAUUUGCAAUACACCAUUUUCAGUUGUUCGUAAUAUAGAGUUGGUUAAUAUCAAGUCUAUUAAAGAAGUGUGGUUUUUGCUGGAAUAAUGGGUAGGUUUAUUUAUCAGCUGGGUAAGGGGUAAUAUAUUUAUAGCAUCGUGAAUAAAACUUUUAGAUUUUUUUUAACAUAUAAAUAUUGAAGUCACCUAAAAUUAUGCAUUUGUCGAAGGGGUCGGUUAUAGCGUUUUGAAGAGAGUUAAAUAUCUGUUGGUUUGUACUAGAAGUUGAUGAGGGUGGUCUAUAAUAAUUGCCAAGUAAACAUUUGUGGUUGUUACAAUUUACUUCUAUCCAUAUAGACUCUAUUUCACUGUUUUCUAGAUCUGCCCUGCGUUUGAACGAUAUGGAAUUACGAACGUAAAUAAUAAGUCCUUCCCCAUGAUUAUUUCUGUCUUUCAUAAUAGGUGGGUAGUAAGAAGUUAAAGAAAUUGGUUCAGAUGUGGUAUUUCUAUCGAGCCAGGUUUCACUAAUUGUUAUGAUGUCAAAAUGUCUUAGUUCUACAGCUAUUAAGACAAUUUUGUUUUUGAGGCUCCUUACAUUCAGAUUAACAAUUGAAAGUUGAUUAUGUAUUAAUGAGACGGGUCCUGGAUUUAGUUCGAUGUCUCCUGACAAUAGUAACAACGUGUAUAUUAUAAGGGUAAUUGAGAGCAAAGCAUUUGCACUAAGUGUUACAUGUGUAAGCUUCCUAUUAGGAAAAUUAUUGAACUUAUGCUUAUAUAGUGAUUCAGAUGAUGGGUCUUCAAAAGAUAGCCCUGAGAUUUGACAGUAUUGCAGGUGUUUGUUUAGACGUACGUGGUAUUGGUUGCUUGUCGUAAAUAUAGUUGUUUCCAAGGGUAUGGUAUAUAGGGAAUUGACAGUUUUCUUCAGUUCAGAAAGUAUUUUAUGUAUCAAACUAAUAUGUUUAAAUAUAUAAUUGAUAAAAUCAAAUAAACGUAAAUACAAGUCGUAAAUAAAGGUGUAAAACAAUACAACAUAUGUACAUGUACGGGUAUAUAUACAUGGAUGCGAAUAGAAAGGGUGAAUGGUUCAGGUUUCUACAUUGUUCAGUGAGAUGUGUUAUGGAAGAUGGUUAUGCGUCUAGAUAAGCAAGUCUACUUGAUCAGCAUCCCGCAUGAAAUUGACAGUAUGCCACCCACGCUGUAUGGUUAAUAUGGGUCAACAUUGUUUGAAGGGGGACAUGGUUUACUGUUCUGGAGUUGAAAAUGUUAAUGCAUCUUUAGUCCCUAUGGAUUUAUCAGAGGAGGAAGGAAGUCUAAAGUACAGGAAAAUUUGUAAAGACACUGGUACAGUUACUGUUGUGGAAGUUUAUUGAGCCAUAUCUUCAGGUGGGUCAGUGGUAAUACCAUUUGAUAUGUUAAACUGAAGAAGUUCCUCUGGAGUUGGUUUAUAACCAGGAAUCUCAGUUGCAUUGAAUAUUCGUUUAGUUUGUCCAUCAGAACCAUCAGGUUUUCUGAUUCGAAUAAAGAUUUUACCAUCUCUGGUCCAACAAGAGUUGAUGUGAUUUGCCUUGUAAGAUCUCCGUGCUAUGUUGAAGACAAAAGCUCUGUACCUUGUAAGAUCUUCAUUAAUGAAUAUAUCAUUUUUUACCCCGUUUACAACCUUUUUGCCCCUCAUUAUAACAACCUUGGUCUUGUAGCUAGAUAGUCUUACUAUAAUACGUUUAGGUUGUCCCUUGUGGGCUUUUCGGACACGGUGGCUAUUUUCGAUGUCAUGUGUUGUAAUGUUUGGUAUUAUCUUCCUUAAUACAGCCAAGGCUUCAUUUUCAACAUUUUCAUCUGCAGUUUCUUUAAUGCCACUGAUGCGGAUACAAUUGCGCCUGCCAUAUUGUUCGAGAUCAUCGCAGCGGUCUUGUAUGAUACCAUUCAGCUCAAAGGAAAUUGAUGCCAACUCAAGUUUUAAUUCUGAUAUUUCUUUUUUAAGUGUGGUGGUGUGUUAGAUUAUUUCUUCUUGCAGAAUAAGUUCCACCAUGGGUCUGAAGGCAUUUUGCACUUCUGGAUUCUGAAAAGCUCUUACCAAUUCAAGAGUUACAGCAUUUACUGUAUUCAUGAAUACAUUGUCUGCGAGUGGGCUUGGUGGGGGCGGGGUGGAUAUGUCUUUGGUGUCAGUCAUGGGUGUUGAACAGGCACUUAUUGUAUUUUCUUGAUAUUCUAGGCUGGUGUUAUUGUCUGGAUCAGCUGAGGGCAGGGUAGUGGAGGACAUGAAACUUGUAAUUUGGCUUUGCUGUGGUUGUGUUUUGCUUUUUUUCAGGUUGCUGUCCAGUAUACCAGAUGACAAUAGGAGUUCUGUCUGGAUUUGGAGUGGAGAACCUGUUUGUUUUCGUUUCCUACUGGCCUUGUCCCGCCUCGGGGUAGACAUGGAUUUUAUGUUUUUUAUAUUUGCUGUUAAAUAAACGUUAUAUACUGGAAAAAAACUUUCGUUUAUUGGCCUGUUCAUAUACCGGAUUACACAGUUAUAAGGUUUAAAGACGCCGAUGCCUUGUGUAAACAAAAAUGGCUGCUCCAGUGUAUGAUUGCUGAUGUUAGGUUAUAGUAUUUGUAGGUAAUUCCCAAUUCAUCAACAGAAGAUGAGAUUAUGUAUCUUACUUAUUUUAAGUUCAUUGUAGUAGACUGUAGGAUCAUUUAGACAGCUUCAUGAUGUGUGUUAUGUACAUUUCUCACGAACAAGUGGACCUCUAACAAAAACACGUCUAGCUACUGUCGGCCAUAAUUAGAAUAUAUGCCCGGUUGAAAUGUUUCUCGUUAUAACUCAGUGUGCAAUGCUUAUGUGGAAAUCUGGUUCAUUGGUACGUGGUAACGUGGCACAGGUGAAACCCGUCAUUACUGCGUCGCAGUUCCAGUUGUUAUUCAUUUGAUGUAUUGGAGUAAAUAAACGAGGUCAUUGCUACACUAAAGAUUUCUGAAGACUGACAUACAACAGUACUUUGUUAGAAUAGAAGCGGUAUUAGGUGUUCUGGAAAAAGUAAGCGUAACCCUUCUUCUGUAUUCAUCCACCACCGGCAAAUUGGGGCCAUGGUUUGCACCCGGUUUUCUGAGGCAAAAGGCCAUGGGUGCAAGCCAAGUAGAGUCGCUAGCCCAGCAAAAUCCUCAAAUGAUAAAUGGCACUACACAGAGAUAGAGAGAAUUUUUUUCACAAGGCCUAUUUUUAUGGGCGGCAUCGCUAGGCUACAUUGUGAUCGUGUCCUUGUUAAUUUUCUAAAUCCAGUUGAGAACAUCUAGGACAUUCUUGGGUGUAAAAUCCGUCAGAGGAGUCCAUCAUUGCAGAAUCUUGACUAUGUGGAGCAGUCACCAAACCAGGAAUGUAACAGAUUAACACGGGCGCAGAUCCAACAUCUCAUAUGUCAAUGAGAAGGUGCGUUCAACAGGAGAUGCAGCUCGCCGUAGACUACACACCAGACAUCUGUUUACUAUUUUGACGACUCUAUAGAAAACUUGAACAUAAAAUGAACUGAACUGAACAAUGGGAUUUCCUAUUGACCUGUACCAGCCAUGUUUCAUCCAUUUUCCGCCCCUAUUUUUUAACUCGCCAGAAUCACAUUAAAUCCUAUUCAGUUAUUGUCUUUCUUUGUUGGUUCAAUAUAUUCGGUAGAACCAGGCUUGAAAUCCGGUCAGAAACAAAGCAUUUUAUAACGAAAUACUUACAAGUAUAUUGAUGUUAUCUAUCCGGUUAUGUAAUGUAUUUGUUUUAUGAUGAGCAUUACCUACAUUGGUUGCUAUUUAUAUUAAGAUGAUGUACCUUCAUUGGUUGCUAUUUAUAAUAAGAUGGUGUACCUACAUUGGUUGCUUCGUAUAAUAAGAUGUUGUAUCCAUAUUGGUUGCUAUGUAUAAUAAGAUGAUGUACCUACAUUGGUUGUUAUGUAUAUUAAGAUGAUGUACCUACAUUGGUUGCUAUUUAUAAUAAGAUGAUGUACCUACAUUGAUUGCUACGUAUAAUAAGCUGAUGUACCUACAUUGGUUGCUACGUUAAUAAGAUGAUGUACUUACAUUGGUUGUUAUGUGUAAUAAGAUGAUGUACCUACAUUGGUUGUUAUUUAUAAUAAAAUGAUGUUCCUAUAUUGGUUGCUAUGUAUAAUAAGAUGAUGUACCUAUAUUGGUUGCUAUGUAUAAUAUGAUGAUGUACCAUUGGUUUCUAUGUAUAAUAAGAUGUUGUACCUAUAUUGGCUGUUAUGUAUAAUAAGAUGAUGUAGCAAUAUUGGUUGUAGAUGAUGUAUCUAUAUUGGUUGCUAUGUAUAAUAAGAUGAUGUACCUACAUUUGUUGUUAUGUAUAAUACAAUGAUGUACCUAUAUUGGUUGUUGUGUAUAAUAAAAUGAUGUACCUAUAUUGGUUGCUAUGUAUAAUGAGAUGAUGUACCUAUAUUGGUUGCUUUGUAUAAUAAGACUAUGUACCAUUGGUUUCUAUGUAUAAUAAGAUAAUGUACAUAUAUUGGCUGUUAUGUAUAAUAAGAUGAUGUAGCAAUAUUGGCUGUUUUGUAUAAUAAGAUGAUGUAGAGAUUUUGGUUGCUGUGUAUAAUAAGGAGAUGUAGCUAUAUUGAAUGAGAUGUUCUACAUGUACUGGUAAUUAUGUAUAAUAAAAGGUACACUGUAUAAAAAAUAACGAGCCAGAUUGAAA